rnacentral:rRNA from 1 species
UACGAAGGGGGCUAGCGUUGUUCGGAAUUACUGGGCGUAAAGCGUGCGCAGGCGGCCAUCCAAGUCAGUGGUGAAAGCCCGGAGCUCAACUCCGGAAUUGCCAUUGAAACUGUUUGGCUCGAGUACGAGAGAGGUGAGUGGAAUUCCCAGUGAUAGAGGUGAAAUUCGUAGAUAUUGGGAAGAACACCGGUGGCGAAGGCGGCUCACUGGCUCGUAACUGACGCUCAUGCACGACAGCGUGGGGAUCAAACAGG